rnacentral:rRNA from 1 species
UAUUGCGCAAUGGGGGAAACCCUGACGCAGCAACGCCGCGUGAGCGAAGAAGGCCUUCGGGUCGUAAAGCUCUGUCAUCAGGGACGAAGGAAGUGACGGUACCUGAGGAGGAAGCCCCGGCUAACUACGUGCCAGCAGCCGCGGUAACACGUAGGGGGCGAGCGUUGUCCGGAAUUACUGGGCGUAAAGGGUGCGUAGGCGGUCUGUUAAGUCAGAUGUGAAAGACCUGGGCUCAACCCGGGAUGUGCAUCUGAGACUGGCGGACUUGAGUGCAGGAGAGGGAAGUGGAAUUUCUAGUGUAGCGGUGGAAUGCGUAGAUAUUAGGAAGAACACCAGUGGCGAAGGCGGCUUCCUGGACUGUAACUGACGCUGAGGCACGAAAGCGUGGGGAGCGAACAGG